CUGGGAUUUCAGUUUGAGAAACUCAGUUUGGUGUUAGUAGUGAAGAUUCAGCUCUCUGUUAAAACUCCUGCAAGUGAAGAGUUGGGCAGGACGGCUGGACAAAGCCCCCCUCCAUGACCCCCCGGUGACCUCUCCAAACGCAUGAUGGGACAGGAAUCACCUGGGCAGGAACGGCAGGGACACGACCAGCUGAAUGCUAAAUCAGAUCUAGUUCCUGAAGCCUCUGCUAUCGAUUUGGGAGAUUACACAAGCAUUCAAUUUCCUCCGAAGUGAGAUGUCAACCAAGGUUCUGUAUCGGUUGACUCUGGCACAUUGUAACCUGGGGGUCAUCGACUCUGCCCUUUCA